GAGUUCAAGAGUACGUGAAACUGCUUAGAGGUUAAGCCCGAUGAACCUGAAUAUCCGUUAUGGAAAAUUCAUCACUAAUACUAUGAUAUUUAUAAUAUUAUAGAAAUGGUGUGCAAUUUUUCCAUAUAAGGACAUUGUAAUCUGUUAAUGUAUUAAAUAUUUAUUAAAAGAUCAUAUACAUAAGUUUAUUCAAAUUAGUUAUUUUCGGAUUUCUAACAUAGAAUAAAUGUAUUUGAUUUAAUAAAUCAUUGACAGAUUUUAUUAUAAUAUAGUGCUCAAAUUUUGAACGAAAUUUUACAAUAAUAUGAUAAUUCAAUUUGUUAUAUUUAUUGUAUGCGCUUAUAUGAUUAACAAUGCGAUAGAUUCAGGAUACCUUCGGGACCCGUCUUGAAACACGGACCAAGGAGUCUAACAUAUGUGCAAGUCAUUGGGUAUUUUUAAUAAAACCCAAUGGCAUAAUUAACUUAACUGUUUUUUAAAUGGGAUUAGUUUAUAUUUUAUUAUGAAAUAUUAAUUCAAUCCCGGGGCGUUCUAUAUAGUUAUGCAUAAUGAUAUUUAUAUUAUUUAUGUCUCUAACUAGAGC
rnacentral:rRNA from 1 species